AAUCAACGCUGGCGGCGUGCCUCAGACAUGCAAGUCGAACGCGAAAGUCCCCUUCGGGGGACAAGUAGAGUGGCGCACGGGUGAGUAACACGUAGGUAAUCUACCUUCGGAUGGGGAAUAACAAUCGGAAACGGUUGCUAAUACCGCAUAAUGCAGCGGCACCUAAUGGUGACAGUUGUUAAAGCGGGGGAUCGAAAGACCUCGCGUCUGAAGAGGAGCCUGCGGCGGAUUAGCAGUUGGUAAGGUAAUGGCUUACCAAGGCGACGAUCCGUAACCGGCCUGAGAGGGCGGUCGGUCACACUGACACUGACAUACGGGUCA
rnacentral:rRNA from 1 species